AGCUGAAUGGAUCAUUUUCUUAUUUACUUUUUUGGCUUCUUUCUCUCUCUCAGAUAUUUCUUCAUUCAACUGAAAAAAGCUUCUAGGAUAAAAUCGAUAGGUUAACAUGGUAUCAAAGCAUUGAUCCUCUCAAUUUUGACGGCUAAAUCCUUCGAUUUUCCAUUCUACAGCUUCAAUCCAUGGCGUAGUGUUGCUCACACUCACUGUUUGGUCAACAACGACAAUUUUGACGAUUUUUUUUUUUUACGGUCUCAUGAAGUUUUCAGCAGUAUUUCAUUAAUUCCUCUUCAGCGAAGCUUUCCCUGGUGACGUCUGAGGUUUUCAUGGCACCAGACUUCAAAAGCCCCAAAUUUGGGUGCAGGUUUUUUUUGGAAACCCUAAUCUCCUACGAUUUCAUCUAUAUUCUCUUAAGUGUUGGUAUUGUGCGAUUGUGUGAAGCUUUACAUAUUCUGAAUUACGUGUUAGAUAGUCUCAUAGCUGUGGCAGACUUGUUUCGAUAGUUAAUUGAUACUACUCUCUAGUGAAGAUAGUUUUAUCUACUGAUUCGACUCCGUCAACUCAUAUUGACAACUCAACAACAAACACUAACUCUGUUGUGGACUCGUCCCAUCCUUUGUACGUCCAUCCUUCGGACAGUCUUUCAAUCGUGCUUGUACCAGUGUCCUUUUCAAGGACUGGGUACAUGUCUUGAGAAGACAUGUACUGAUUGCCUUCUCCGCUAAGAAUAAGGCUGGAUUGGUGAAUGGUAGAAUUUCCAAGCCUAAUCCCGACUCUCCUCUAUAUGACUAAUGGCUAAGAUGCAAUGAUAUGGUCUUUGCAAGGCUAAGCGAUUCCUUGUCUAAGGAUAUUGUUGAGAGUGUAUUACAUUGUGAGACUGCAGGGGAUGUCUGGUAUGACCUUGAAGAGAGAUAUGGUCAAUCCAAUGCUAGUAUAUAUUAUCAACUUCAAGAGAAAUUAUUGGGGCUUCACAGGGUUCAUUAGAUAUUGCUAGUUAUUACACUAGGUUAAGAAAAUUAUGGGAUGAAUUAAAAUCAACCUCUUUUGGUCCUCUAUGCACAUAUGGUGCUGAACCUAUGUGUAAUGAUGGACAAAAGUUGAUUCAGUUCCUAACUGGUUUGAAUGAGUCCUAUUCAAAUGUGGGAAGCAACAUACUUAUGAUGACUCCAGUUCCUAGUGUAGGAAAAGCUUAUUCCAUACUUCUCUAUGAUGAAAACCAGCGAGAACUCCAAUCAUCUCAUUCAUCUUUCAUGUCUGAUCACACUUUCUUCAAUGCGAAGGAAUAUACUUUGCCACCUUCUUCUCCAUCCCAUGCACUAACACCAACAAGUCCUACAAUUCAAGGGUGAAUUUCGACAAUAGAAAAUCCAAUGGAAUUUGUAAAUAUUGUCGAAAACCUGGUCAUUCUAUUGAACAAUGCUAUAGACUUCAUGGAUUCCCACCUGACUUCAAAUUCACUAAGAACAAAAAAUCAGCAGAUUGUGUGAAAGUUGAUGCAUGCAAAGAGGGUCCUCCAUCCACUUCAGAUUCUCUUCAUGGAUUCAGCAAUGAGCAACAUCAACAUAUUCUGGAAUUAAUCCAGCAAUCUCAGCUCAACACUGCACCUAUUUCCUCUACUGCAAUGGUUGCCUUUGCAGGACCCAUCUCUGAAGAGGCCCUUGGCAAUUGGUAGAGAGGCAAAUGAACUGGACUUGAGAUCACUUAUACACCUGCUGGUUACAUGGUUCAUCAAAAGAAGUAUGUCACUGAUUUGUUAUCUGAGUUCCAUUGUUCAGUUGUUGCACCUGUUCUCACUCUACUUGAUCCUCAUGUCAAAUUGCUUGUUGAUGGUGGUGAUCUUCUGUCCGACCCUUCUAUCUAUAGAAGGCUUAUUAGAAAGUUAAACUUUCUCCAACAUACCAGACCGGAUAUUUCAUUUGCAGUUCAACAUCUUAGUCAAUUUUUGGUUACACCAAGGGUGCCCCACAUGCUAGCUAGUAUUCACGUGCUACGUUAUUUGCUUAAUGAUCCGGCACAGAGAGUUUAUUGUCCAGCUCCCAUGAUUUUUCCCUUCAGGAUUAUGCUAAUUCGAAUUGGGUUGCUUGUCCCACUACUCGCAGGUCUGUUACUGGUUUCUUUGUCUUAUUGGGUGGUUCUCCUAUUUCUUGGAAGUCCAAGAAAUAGCCUACCAUUUCUUUUUCAUCUGUGGAGGCUGAGUAUCGUGCCCUCCGCAAUGUAGUUGCUGAAAUUGUAUGGUUGCUUCGCUUACUUGAUGAUUUGGGCAUACAUAUUUCUACCCCUGUGCCUAUAUUCUGUGAUAGUCAGGCUGCUCUCCAUAUUGCCUGCAAUCCUAUCUCUCAUGAAUGUAUGAAACACAUCAAAGUCGACUGUCAUUUUGUAUGUGAAGUUCUUCAUUCUGAAGCUAUCUCUUUACAACAUAUAUCUACUCAUCUUCAACUUGUUGUUCUGCUCACCAACGCUUUGACUGGUGUUCCACAUCAUCGUCUCCUUUGCAAGCUCGGUGUGUACUCACCCUCCAACUUGAGGGGGUGUUGGAGAUAUAGGCCUGGGUUGACUUGCAUUUUCAUAUAUUUGGGCCACAUGUUAUUGGGCCUUUCUUUAUCCAGGGACCCGGCCCUUUUCCGGUUAAUAUUUUCAUUAUGAAUGUAUAUAUAUAUAUGACUGUAAACACUUGGACAAAGCUGAAUGGAUUAUUUUCUUAUU